rnacentral:other from 1 species
CGCCUCCUGCAGUGUACGAAGAUGGCCUGGAUACCUUUCGACCCUAAAUUAUUACCUCGGGGUCGUGCACUGUCGGUAGCAUAUGUGCAAAACCGCUCCGCGCGGGAAGCCUGUUGCUACCACGUCUGACCCCACCUGUUGCUCCGGUUCGAGAGCGACGGCCGGAAACGGCACAGGCGGGAGGCGU